AGCAGCCGCGGUAAUUCCAGCUCCAAUAGCGUAUAUUAAAGUUGUUGCAGUUAAAAAGCUCGUAGUUGAAUUUCGGGAUCAAUAUGUUGGUCGUGCCUCGGUACGUACUAGCUUAUUGGUUUCUCCUUUCUGAAGAACCAUGAUGUCAUUUAUUUGGUGUCGUGGGGAAUCAGGACUGUUACUUUGAAAAAAUUAGAGUGUUUAAAGCAGGCUCACGCUUGAAUACAUUAGCAUGGAAUAAUGAAAUAGGACGUUUGAUUCUAUUUUGUUGGUUUCUAGGAUCGACGUAAUGAUUAAUAGGGAUAGUUGGGGGCAUUAGUAUUCAAUUGUCAGAGGUGAAAUUCUUGGAUUUAUUGAAGACUAACUACUGCGAAAGCAUUUGCCAAGGAUGUUUUCAUUAAUCAAGAACGAAAGUUAGGGGAUCGAAGACGAUCAGAUACCGUCGUAGUCUUAACCAUAAACUAUGCCGACUAGGGAUCGGAUGAUGUUAAUUUUUUAAUGACUCAUUCGGCGCCUUACG
rnacentral:ncRNA from 3 species